rnacentral:tRNA from 1 species
GGUGUCGUGGCCGAGUGGCUAGGCUAUGGUCUGCAACACCAUCUACAGCGGUUCGAAUCCGCUCGACACCUCAA